GACUCACUGCCAAAGAUGUUCACUUUCUGGGAGACGCAGACCACGUCCAGGAAGGGGCACAAGGCCAGUCUGCAGGAGUCCCCUUCUGAGACCGUCCAGCACCUGUAGCAGCGCAGAUCCUGAGCUGGGAGAGAGGGCAAGCACAUGCCAGGACACACACCCACACCCUGGUGAGCACCUCAUGCCCACAGGGGCACCCUAGUCUCACCACCACCUUGUCCCACACCUGCCACCUGGACAUGCCCUUUGCAACAGCCCCACACACCUGCAUGCCACCCAUGCCUGCCACCCUCCAGCACAACCUCCUGGUCCAAGAGGCACCAGCGGCCGCUGCCCAGAGCCAAAGUGCCCAGGAUCCAGCGUGGCUUCGGAUAUGAAUGCAGCCGGCACGUGUGGUAACAAGCACAGAGCAGGCACCAAACACACAUCAGCCACCUCUGCCACCGGAACACCGAGGCCCACCACCCCAGCAGGCACGCCGUCCGGGCACACCCACCGAAAUGAGCCCCAGCUCUCGGGGAAGCAGAAGCGCUCUGGAAGGAACUCCGCAGAAGACCCCUCUGCCUCUCACCUCUCUCUGCACUCAGCAUGGCCACCAGCAGGACCAGGGACAAGGUCUUCAUGGCGUGGAGACUGCUCAUUCUAAGAGACAGGGUUUCACCAUGUUGGCCAGGCUGGUAUCAAACUCCUGAGCUCAGGUGAUCCACCCGCUUCGGCCUCCCAAAGUGCUGGGAUUACAGGCGUGAGCCCCAUGCCCGGCCCAGGAGCUUGACUUCUGCUAAUGCGCCAGGAUGGGCAGUCAAGGAAGCGGCCACGUCCUCGGGAUGCAGCAGCUGUGGCCGCCAUACAGUCAACACAAGUGUUGCAUCGGACUGAGCACAGAAAGUCAACACCAGGACAAAAGUAUGCCAAAUUGCAGGGUUUACUGCCGGCAACCACGGAGGACUCACAUCUCUCCAACCCGUGACCCCGAAAGAAGAGAGACAAGACCUUUUUAUACCCGCAAAAACCACCUUGGGAGUGGGGGUGGAGAUGGGAAUGAAAGCUGUCAAUCACCUCCCAGGCUAAGACGAGGGUGAGGGGCUUCAGACAUUCCGAGGGCCAGUGGAUUCAAAUCACCUUCUGGGCAGAGAGGAGGGUGAGGGGGUUCCGGACAUUUCGAGGGCCAGGGGACUAUUUGACAUUCUGAUUGUCAUUUAAGGGGUUCACAGAUGCUGAGAUUAGCAUUCGUUUACACGUCGUCUGGGUAGGGGUGGGAUCCAUAGACUUUCAGUUGCUUGGCGCCAGGAUGGAGUUAUCUGGGGUGCUUACUCUGGGAAACAAAGGCCAUCAAUUCUGGCAGAUAAGAGAAGGUAGGCAGCUUUACCUCUCUUUGCAUCCUGCAAAUAAUCUAGCAGGUUACAGAAACCAAGGUUAGCAGUCCUUGAGGAGAGUGGAAACAUUUUUGUCUUUUAUAAGAUGGCAGUGUACAGGUUCCAACUCUAAGUUAGCUAUAUCACACAAGAAGCCUUUCCGUUUGCACCACGGUCCGGCUCAUCCAGGCAAUGCUAUCUCCAGGAGGGACAGUCCCCGCCCCCAGCUAGACAGCAGGCACACUGGAUUUUACCUGUCCUCAGACUGACCCUUCGCCCGUUUUAACAGUAGAAAGCACACCCCAGGGAGGAGGUUUCAGAGACUAAUGAGACAUGCGACGUAGGAACAAGCCUGUGCACCCAGAGGACCCCCUGGAACGAGCUUCCGAGCAACGCCUCUCCCACCUCGAGAGAGGAAUCAGGGAAGACUCCCAUCAGGAGCCUCCCGGUGCCAAUCUCCCCUGUCCCGCCUGUAGAGGCAGCCGGCCCUGGACCCUCCCUCUCCGGGCGUCCUGUCUCUUCCGCACUGAACUUUAAAAACAUUCUUUCUCCUUUGCAAUGCACCCCUCUGCGCUGCAUCUCUGCGUCUCCUGUUUAAAUUCUCUCAAGCUAAGAAGCGUGGAGGCCUAGCAGCAGCCCUCAGUGUUUCCGACGUCCUGCCUGAUGGAGGUUUGUCUGGGCAUCCACUCCCGUUGCCCUUCCCUGUGGUGGGUACCAUGGCACUGCCAGGCUGCCUGGUUGGCUGCCACUGCGUCUCCCAGGCUGUUUCAGUAAAGGUUUUUAAGUGGCCUGUGCCCUUUCUGUGGAUACGUGCGGCCUCCUCUGCGCCUCCAACAUUAUCCCACCCACGUGGGUUGUUCUCAGCACGGGGCAUUCGCUGUUUUGCGCUGAGUUUCACACCUUUCUGGGCUCCUGUCCCACCUGUUCCUCUGGCAGCACUUGGCCGCCACCUUGUGGCCACUGUGAUUUACAGUCUGAUCGUGUUUUUUGUUUACAAUUUUUUCUUUUCUUUUCUUUUUUUCUGAGACAGAGUUUCUAUUGCCCAGGCUAGAGGCAAUGACACCAUCUUGGCUCACCGCAACCUCCGCCUCCUGGGUUCAAGCAAUUCUCCUGCCUCAGCCUUCUGAGUAGCUGGGACUACAGGCACCCACCACCACAUCUGGCUAAUGUUUUGUAUUUUUAGUAGGGAUGGGGUUUCACCGUGUUGGCCAGGCUGGUCUCGAACUCCUGACCUUGAGUGAUCUGCCCACCUCGGCCUCCCAAAGUGCUGGGAUUACAGCCAUGAGCCACCAGGCCCGCCCAACAUGUUCUGUUUUGAGGGACACACUAAGAGUGCCCCAUCCCUCCAGACUUUAUGCAUUUUCCAACUCCUUGUCCUUCCACUGGCUUUCUUUGCUGAAUAAAAAAUGCUCAGUCAUGUAGAUUCCAGGUCGUGAGGAUCACAUCCGGCCAUUCCAGGCAUUAUGAUCAGACAUCACAAAUGGUCAACCAGAGAGGCAGGGAAAGGCUUGGUGGAGACACAUCAGGACCCCCAGCCAGCAAGGGGGCCACCUUGGUGGGCCUGGAGACUUUCCAGCACUGCUGAGACCCAGUCAGUGCCCGGCAAAUGCCCGUGACCUCCUAGGGUCCUGGUUUCAUGGGGACUCAAGGGGAUGUCCCAGACCCUGUCAUGGUCCAGCUUGAGGAGGCUGAGGCGGGAGGAUCACCUGAGCCUGGGAGAUCGAGGCUGCAGUGAGCCAUGAUAGUGCCGCUACACUCCAGCCUGGGCAACAGAGUAAGACCCUGUCUUGACAAAAAAACAGAGGAGGGGCCGGGCACGGUGGCUCAAGCCUGUAAUCCCAGCACUUUGGGAGGCCGAGGCGGGUGGAUCACGAGGUCAAGAGAUCAAGACCAUCCUGGUCAACAUGGUGAAACCCCGUCUCUACUAAAAAUACAAAAAAUUAGCUGGGCAUGAUGGCGCGUGCCUGUAAUCCCAGCUACUCAGGAGGCUGGGGCAGGAGAAUUGCCUGAACCCAGGAGGCAGAGAUUGCGGUGAUCCGAGAUUGCCAUUGCACUCCAGCCUGGGUAACAACAGCGAAACUCCAUCUCAAAAAAAAAAAAAAAAAAAAAAAAACAGAGAGGAAAGACAAUUGUCUUUCCUUUGGUCCCCUCUGGCUCUAGGAUGUCUCAACCCAGGCUGCCCAAGACCAGUCUUGCCUUCAUUCCUCUUCUUGGAAUAUUUGUGCACUGCACAGCUGGAGAACUGUUAGGGGUGUGUGUCCACGGUGCGUGGGGUCUCAGCAUCUGUAGGGGAUGUGCCCAGGGUGUGAGUGGUGUCAGCAUCUGUUGGGGGGGUGUGUCCUUUGUACCACUAAGUACAGAGCGUGUGAAGUUGUGAAAUAUACAUCAGGUCCUUUUAAUUGUUCUUUUAAGAUGGAAUUUCGCUUUUGUUGCCCAGGCUGGAGUACAGUGGCACUAUCUCAGCUCACUGCAACCUCCGCCUCCCAGAUUCAAGUGAUUCUCCUGCCUCAGCCUCCCCAGUAGCUGGGAUUACAGGUGUGCACCACCAUGCCUGGCUAAUUUUUGUAUUUUUAGUAGAGACACAGUUUCCCCAUGUUGGCCAGGCCCGUCUCGAAUUCCUGACCUCAGGUGAUCUGUCUGACUUGGCCUCCCAAAGUGCUGGGAUUACAGGUGUGAGCCACUGCACCCAGCCCCUUUGUAAUAUCCUUUAUAAUAAAGCAGUAGAUGUGUUUCCCUGAAUUCUGUCACCCAUGAGAAAAGGAAAGAACUUUUAUCUAUGGAAUGUGAUUCCUUUUAAAUUAUCAGGCCCAGGCCAGGCACGAUGGCUCACACCUGUAGUCCCAGCACUUUGAGAGGCCAAGGUAGGUGGAUUGCUUUAGGCCAGGAGUUCAAGACCAGCCUGGGCAACACAGUGAGACCCCAUCUCUACAAAUAAAUAAAUUAGCCAGUAGUGGUGGUACAUGCCUGUAGUCCCAGCUAUUUGGGAAGCUGAGGUUGGAGAAUCACCAGAGCUCGGGAGGCGGAGGCUGCAGUGAGCCGUGAUCGCACCACUGCACUCCAGCCUGGGUGACAGAGUAAGACCCUACCUGAGAAAAGCAGAACAUAAAUUAUCAGGCCCAGAGAGAUUAAAAUUAAACAGCAAUCCCACCCUUCUUCCCCCGGAGCUGAGCUUUCAUCCCUUGGAACUCUUGCUACUGCUGCGAGGCGCUGUGAAUUAACCCCACCGUUCCACACUGACAUUGGAACCCACACCCAAGAUCUUAACGACGUAGAGCCAAUCACGGAUCAAUGCGAUUUCUGUGAACCAAUUAGAAUUAGAAUUAGAAUUAGUAUCAGCCAACACCCUUCCCACCUUUUUGCCUUCAAAAAAUUCACUUGUAACUGUUGCAGCCCUCAUGAUGGCCCAAGUGAAGUUUCUUCUUGUAUUAAAGUUUCUUCUUGUAUUAAAGUUUCUUCUUGUAUUAAAGUUUCUUCUUGUAUUAAAAUCAUUAAUUUUGCUCCUUACCCUGACAGCUCCUCCAGCAAACUGAACCCUAGAGGGAGCUGUGGGAACCCCGACUCGAAGCCGGUUGGUCAGAGCUCUGGAGGCUGUGGUUUGCAGCUGGAGUCUGCAGCGGGGGCAGCUGGGGACUGCCCUCAGCC
ensembl:lncRNA